GACGAACGCUGGCGGCGUGCCUAAUACAUGCAAGUCGAGCGAAUGACGAGAAGCUUGCUUCUCUGAUUUAGCGGCGGACGGGUGAGUAACACGUGGGCAACCUGCCCUACAGAUCGGGAUAACUCAGGGAAACCUGGGCUAAUACCGGAUAAUCCUUCGAAUCACAUGUUUUGAAGUUGAAAGGCGCUUCGGCGUCACUGUAGGAUUGGCCCGCGGUGCAUUAGCUAGUUGGUGGGGUAACGGCCUACCAAGGCAACGAUGCAUAGCCGACCUGAGAGGGAGAUCGGCCACAUUGGGACUGAGACACGGCCCAAACUCCUACGGGAGGCAGCAGUAGGGAAUCUUCCACAAUGGACGAAAGUCUGAUGGAGCAACGCCGCGUGAGUGAUGAAGGUUUUCGGAUCGUAAAACUCUGUUGUAAGGGAAGAACAAGUACGUUAGGAAAUGAACGUACCUUGACGGUACCUUAUUAGAAAGCCACGGCUAACUACGUGCCAGCAGCCGCGGUAA
rnacentral:rRNA from 1 species